rnacentral:rRNA from 14 species
UCCACCGUGUACCACCCUGAACGCCUAGUCUUAGCUGAUCUCAGAAGCUAAGCAGGGCCAGGCCUGGUUAGCACUUGUAUGGGAGAAGAACAUAGCCUGGUGGCC